rnacentral:lncRNA from 1 species
GCGGUGCUAUAUGGUCCCAUUUAAUGAUAUAUCCCUAACAUGCCUGCUUGAGGUGGUGCAGAAAGCCUGGGCCGAAGGAAGUCAGAUCUGAAGGGCUACAGGAAAGGAGGAGGGAGAGAAACAUCUCCUGUGCUCACCAAGACCCCCAGACACUGGGGCCAGCCGCAAAUUCCUUCCAGUUUGUAAAAACGCGGUUUGGUGACAGGCACUGAAAGAGAGUGAGACAUCACAAGGGGUGACAGUGCAGCUCUGACAACACAAAUGAAAUGAGAAAGGCAGUCAGCCCAGGCUGGCUCCUUUGGAAUUCCAGAGAAUUCCCGACGCUGAUUUCGUCCAUGUUCGAAUUCGUUUAGCACUCCUUUCCAACGACCUCUCUGUGGGCCAGGACAUGUUCACUCCUCUCCAGGACGUCCGGCUAUUCGGAGAAGGCCUCACGGAAGGAAAGAAAGUACACCGCACGAUGACCCACGCGGGAGCCAGAAACCGCUCUCCCCUCUCUCGCGGAAUCCUCCGGAGCUUCCCUCCCACCGGCUCGGCGCAAACCGUCGCUGGGCUUCCCCCUACUUGUGAAGCAACCCUGUCUCCUCAGCAGAGCAGGACCUGUUUGACGAAUGGUGGCAGAGGGCUGAGGGGGAAGUGGAUUUUGAUCGCCUUGAUUGCAAGAAUCCAGACGUUUAAAGGUCUCCACGUUGUUUGGAUUUGGCAGCUUUGGGGCUGAAAAAAAUCUCUACAAUGUGCAAGAGUCCAGAGAAGAGGCAAAAAAACAAACUGCUGGUGAAUAUAAUUUUAUAAAGGACUGGGAAAUCAUCUCUAUUUAAACUCUGCCAGAAUCUUCUCUUCUGUUUUCCU